rnacentral:rRNA from 1 species
GAGGAAAGUAGGGGAUCGCAAGACCUUGCGCUUUUGGAGCGGCCGAUGUCUGAUUAGCUAGUUGGUGAGGUAAAGGCUUACCAAGGCGUCGAUCAGUAGCUGGUCUGAGAGGACGACCAGCCACACUGGGACUGAGACACGGCCCAGACUCCUACGGGAGGCAGCAGUGGGGAAUUUUGGACAAUGGGGGAAACCCUGAUCCAGCCAUGCCGCGUGAGUGAAGAAGGCCUUCGGGUUGUAAAGCUCUCUCAGCCGGAACGAAACGGUCACGGUUAAUACCCGUGACUACUGACGGUACCGGAAGAAGAAGCACCGGCUAACUACGUGCCAGCAGCCGCGGUAAUACGUAGGGUGCGAGCGUUAAUCGGAAUUACUGGGCGUAAAGCGUGCGCAGGCGGUUUUGUAAGUCAGAUGUGAAAU